AAUGAUACAGAGAAGAUUAGUAUGGCCCCUGAGCAAGAAUGACACGCCAAUACAUGAAGCACUCCAUAGUUUU
rnacentral:snRNA from 1 species